GAGCGAGGGGGCGGGGCUGCAGCCAGGUGCUCUUGUGCCUGUGAGUGCGCUGUUGGAGUAACGGAGCCAGCCAUACUAAGGAGAGCUUAAGUUUGACCAGGUACCAAAGCAAACCAUUCAUACCGUACAAAUGACGGUGAAUCACGAAAGAUUGAUAUCAAACUGAUCACUUGACCAAUAUUACGUUACUUGCUCUUCAAGUGAAUCAACAAAUGGCGAAAUGAAAAGCCGAACAAAUGCUUUUUUUUUUUUUUAAUAGAGUCUUAUCUUACGUGUGUUUAUUUCAUAUUUUCAGUUCUUACCCUCCCCGACUAAAUCGGUUUCAGUUAUGCACUGAAAUAUAAGAAUGGACAUUAGAGGGUUCUUUCAAAGAAAAAACUCAGCACAAAGAGGGAGAGAGAGGAGCAGAGAUUGAGAUGGAGAAUGAGGACAGAACAGAGAUGAACAAGAGCAGUUUCGGGAAAACACACCUCAACUCCCACAAAGUGAGAAGAAUGCUUCUUGUGCCCGUGAUGAUACAAACAUAUGCUACGGGGUUGCCCUGUGCUGCAUGCAUGGUCUCAUACAAACCUAUGGCUAACCAAAGUAAACACCAGAGUGACAGAUUUUCCCAGCAUGCCCUGGGUGUGGUGGUGGAGGUGAAUGAGGGGGAAAGAUCUGUCCUGCUGCCCUGUCAGUACUUUGGGUUUAUACCUGAGAAUCCCACAGUGAUGUGGACUCGCAGUGAUCUCCAUCCCAAAUCUGUCCAUGUGAGACAAGACGAAACAGACGAUCUCAGAGGACAAAACCAGCGUUACAGUGGGCGCACAUCAAUGAGACCUGAUGCUCUGGACGCUGGAGACUUCAGCCUCACUCUGACAAAACCAACAAAGACUGACAGCAGCAUCUACACCUGCUCCAUCAGUGAUGGGAGAGAAGAACGGAGACUGAGAGAUAUCCAGCUGCAGGUCAAAGCCUUGCCUACUUUACAGUUCUUGGAACCCAUCAACACCAGUGUUCACUUGAUAGACAUAUCACCACACAUUGACGGGCUGAAAAAUGCGAUGGAAGAGUACAAGAGUACGAUAAAAGAGCUCAGUGGCUGUUCAAAAGCUACUGUCGCCGUGGGAGGGCUUAUUGCGACGUUGAUUGUGAUCGUUCUAGGGUUUAUGUAUAUAUGAUCGCCACUUGGCUUGUAUGUGUUUAUGUCAAGUGUGGAAAUAAAAGAAAAUAUAUCAUUGCUUAC
ensembl:lncRNA